rnacentral:ncRNA from 2 species
CUUGGGUAUAGGGGCGAAA